CCCACGUGCCACAUGGGCAGGGGCUGUUCUCCCUCUGCCUGUCCACUGGCAGCCAGGCUGGGUGAGGGGACAGGGUUGCCCCAGGACCCCAAGUGGCUGCUGCCCUGUGCCUGGGGGGAAGGGAUCUGACUCAGGGCCCUUCCGAACCCCGCAGGUGCCCCAUCCUCCCCAGGUUCACCGCCUGGCAGGAGCCCUGCCCGUGGCUCCCUGGACACCCAGAGGGGGUGCUGCAGAGCAGGGUCCUUUCCCUUCUUUCUGGAGCCCAUGGCCAGGGCGAUCCCCAAGUUCCUCUACAGCAGCUGGCACCAGCAGGCAUUGCUGGGGCACCGUGGAGUGCCCAGUGUGGGGUGAUGGCAGCUGGGCACCUGAGGGCAUUGGCAUCUGGUGCUGGGCGAAGGGCCGGGGAGAGCAUUGGUGCUUUGGUGAGAUGGGGCUUGCAGCCAGAGGUGGGGGCAGUGGCCCGCAGCCUAGAGCAUGGGGCCUUCUGAAUCCUCCUUGCUCAUCCUUGUGGGGCGCGGAUGGUCCUGGGAAUGGAGGCUGCAGGUGCCUUUGCUUGGUCUGUUCUGGUUCUGCGGGUCUGUGUGUGGUGAGCAGGUCCCGGCUUCGACUGAUCCAUUCACCGACACGGAGCUGGGGGCUGUGGCUCUGCUCCGGCUCCGCAGCCCCUGCCCUGGUGGGCCGCACCGAUGGAGGUGCCCGAGUGGGGGAGCUGGGUGUAAGGAUUACUCCGCUCUGCGGCUGCACCGUAAGUGGGCUGUGCAAAGGGGUGCGCUCGGGUCGAGUUCCCCCCACCCUGGGCACCAUAGUGACAUUGACCUAACUGAAGUGUCGUCCGGGCCUUAGGCAGGGCCCUGUGCCCGGCACCUGGCAAUGGCCCUCAGUUCUCCCAGCCUGACUGCAGCCCCUCGGCCGCGGGGAAACCGAGGCACUGACCAGCCUUGCCAAGGCCACCCAGCUGGUCAGUGGGACCAGAAUCCAGGAGUCCUGGCUCCCAGAGCCCUUUGCAGCCCUUCCAGCCAAAGCUCCUUGGUGGCAGCCACAGGAGGCUCAGGGUGGCCUAGCUGGCACAGCCCCAGGAGUGCUCAGACCAGCGGCCAGCCUGGGUCAGUCCUGCCUGCUGACAGCGGGCAGUGCCAGGUGCUUCCAAGGGAAUGAGCAGAGCAGGCAAAUGCGAG
rnacentral:lncRNA from 1 species